GCCGGGCACAGUGGCGCAUGCCUGUAGUCCUAGCUACUCGGGAGGCUGAGGCUGGAGAAUCCCUUGAGCCCAGGAGUUCAAGUAGCGCGCUAUACAGAUCGGGUGUCUGCACUAAGUUCGGCAUCAAUAUGGUGACCUCCCAGGAGCGGGGGAGCACCAGGUUGCCUAAGGAGGGGUGAACCGGCCCAGGUCGGAAAUGGAGCAGGUUAAAACUCCCGUGCUGAUCAGUAGUGGGAUUGUGCCUGUGAAUAGCCACUGCACUCCAGCCUGGGCAACAUAGUGAGACCCUGCCUCU
rnacentral:SRP_RNA from 1 species